UGAGGAGAAUGAAGGCUCUGGGAAUUUAUUUUCAUCGUGGACCGGACUUUUUAUCAGCCAGGAAAAAGAUCUCUUGCAGGAGAGGAAAGUCGUCCGCGACAAUGGCUUCUCCUUGCUCUUGUUGCACUGAAGCUUUGAGAACUGCUAGAAGCACCCGCGCUGCGGGAAGACAGCUGAACAUCCUUGCCUCUCCAGGAUGCCCUCAAAGGAGGCGAGUUGCUGCUACGCCGCCCUUGA
rnacentral:lncRNA from 1 species